UGGUGCUUGCACCUGAUUGACGAUGGAUCACCAGUGAGUGGCGAACGAGUGGGUAACACGUAGGUAACCUGCCCCGGAGCGGGGGAUAACAUUUGGAAACAGAUGCUAAUACCGCAUAACAACAAAAGCCACAUGGCUUUUGUUUGAAAGAUGGCUUUGGCUAUCACUCUGGGAUGGACCUGCGGUGCAUUAGCUAGUUGGUAAGGUAACGGCUUACCAAGGCGAUGAUGCAUAGCCGAGUUGAGAGACUGAUCGGCCACAAUGGAACUGAGACACGGUCCAUACUCCUACGGGAGGCAGCAGUAGGGGAUCUUCCACAAUGGGCGCAAGCCUGAUGGAGCAACACCGCGUGAGUGAAGAAGGGUUUCGGCUCGUAAAGCUCUGUUGUUGGAGAAGAACGUGCGUGAGAGUAACUGUUCACGCAGUGACGGUAUCCAACCAGAAAGUCACGGCUAACUACGUGCCAGCAGCCGCGGUAAUACGUAGGUGGCAAGCGUUAUCCGGAUUUAUUGGGCGUAAAGCGAGCGCAGGCGGUUGCUUAGGUCUGAUGUGAAAGCCUUCGGCUUAACCGAAGAAGUGCAUCGGAAACCGGGCGACUUGAGUGCAGAAGAGGACAGUGGAACUCCAUGUGUAGCGGUGGAAUGCGUAGAUAUAUGGAAGAACACCAGUGGCGAAGGCGGCUGUCUGGUCUGCAACUGACGCUGAGGCUCGAAAGCAUGGGUAGCGAACAGGAUUAGAUACCCUGGUAGUCC
rnacentral:rRNA from 1 species